ACCGGUAAGGAGUGCUGGAGCGAAUAGAAGUGAGCAUGCAGGCAUGAGUAGCGAUAAUUAAUGUGAGAAUCAUUAACGCCGUAAACCCAAGGUUUCCUACGCGAUGCUCGUCAUCGUAGGGUUAGUCGGGUCCUAAGUCGAGUCCGAAAGGGGUAGACGAUGGCAAAUUGGUUAAUAUUCCAAUACCAACAUUAGUGUGCGAUGGAAGGACGCUUAGGGCUAAGGGGGCUAGCGGAUGGAAGUGCUAGUCUAAGGUCGUAGGAGGUUAUACAGGCAAAUCCGUAUAACAAUACUCCGAGAACUGAAAGGCUUUUUGAAGUCUUCGGAUGGAUAGAAGAACCCCUGAUGCCGUCGAGCCAAGAAAAGUUUCUAAGUUUAGCUAAUGUUGCCCGUACCGUAAACCGACACAGGUGGGUGGGAUGAGUAUUCUAAGGCGCGUGGAAGAACUCUCUUUAAGGAACUCUGCAAAAUAGCACCGUAUCUUCGGUAUAAGGUGUGGUUAGCUUUGUAUUAGGAUUUACUCCGAAAGCAAGGAAACUUACAACAAAGAGUCCCUCCCGACUGUUUACCAAAAACACAGCACUCUGCUAACUCGUAAGAGGAUGUAUAGGGUGUGACGCCUGCCCGGUGCUCGAAGGUUAAUUGAUGGGGUUAGCAUUAGCGAAGCUCUUGAUCGAAGCCCGAGUAAACGGCGGCCGUAACUAUAACGGUCCUAAGGUAGCGAAAUUCCUUGUCGGUUAAAUACCGACCUGCAUGAAUGGCGUAACGAGAUGGGAGCUGUCUCAAAGAGGGAUCCAGUGAAAUUGUAGUGGAGGUGAAAAUUCCUCCUACCCGCGGCAAGACGGAAAGACCCCGUGGACCUUUACUACAGCUUGACACUGCUACUUGGAUAAGAAUGUGCAGGAUAGGUGGGAGGCUUUGAGUAUAUGACGCCAGUUGUAUAUGAGCCAUUGUUGAGAUACCACUCUUUCUUAUUUGGGUAGCUAACCAGCUUGAGUUAUCCUCAAGUGGGACAAUGUCUGGUGGGUAGUUUGACUGGGGCGGUCGCCUCCCAAAUAAUAACGGAGGCUUACAAAGGUUGGCUCAGAACGGUUGGAAAUCGUUCGUAGAGUAUAAAGGUAUAAGCCAGCUUAACUGCAAGACAUACAAGUCAAGCAGAGACGAAAGUCGGUCUUAGUGAUCCGGUGGUUCUGUGUGGAAGGGCCAUCGCUCAAAGGAUAAAAGGUACCCCGGGGAUAACAGGCUGAUCUCCCCCAAGAGCUCACAUCGACGGGGAGGUUUGGCACCUCGAUGUCGGCUCAUCGCAUCCUGGGGCUGGAGCAGGUCCCAAGGGUAUGGCUGUUCGCCAUUUAAAGCGGUACGCGAGCUGGGUUCAGAACGUCGUGAGACAGUUCGGUCCCUAUCUGCCGUGGGCGUAAGAAGAUUGAAGAGAUUUGACCCUAGUACGAGAGGACCGGGUUGAACAAACCACUGGUGUAGCUGUUGUUCUGCCAAGAGCAUCGCAGCGUAGCUAAGUUUGGAAAGGAUAAACGCUGAAAGCAUCUAAGCGUGAAGCCAACUCUAAGAUGAAUCUUCUCUAAGCUCUCUAGAAGACUACUAGUUUGAUAGGCUGGGUGUGUAAUGGAUGAAAGUCCUUUAGCUGACCAGUACUAAUAGAGCGUUUGGCUUAUCUUU
rnacentral:rRNA from 1 species